rnacentral:tRNA from 1 species
GGGAAUAAAGCAUAAGUAUGCGGUUAACUUGAAAUUAACAGAUGGCAGUUCAAUUCUGUCUUUUCUCG